GGAGGUCUGCUUGAGACGGUCCGAUUGACGUUGUAAAGCUUAUUUAGUAACAUGAUUUCCUUGUUCAUUUUACCACGAAAACUAAGAAGAAACAUUUUUUUAAUGUGACGCGACACUGACCACGGUUUCACAGCUAAAGCGAGCAAAUCAAGAAAGGAUAAUGUCAGUCUGUGCUACACUGCAUUUCUGAUAUGGACGUGAGCAACACUGUCGUAUCACAAGGAACAGUCCUGUGUCUUUUACUCUUCACUCUGUACACUUCGCAAUACAAAUGCCUCGGAUGUUGGUGGCUUGCUGAGCCAACUCGUUGACAGAGCCAAACACCCCAUUAUGUUCCUCAGUUGGAAACUGUUGGAGUGGGAGACGAGCUCUGGGAAACCCCUCAGUGAAGACACAUUUUCCUGCCUACAACUUCUGGUGCUAACUCUGUCUGUUCUGGACCAGACAAUAUAAAGCAAGAUGACCAAAUUGAACGAGGUACUUUGGGGUGAUAACCAGUUGACAAACAGCUCCUGUGUGACUUGCUAAAUCAGCUCACUAGGAGUGUUACCCUGGGCUACCGCAGCCAACAUUUUUGUUGUGCCACCAUGCUCCUGUAACUUUUUCUUUUUUUGUUCAUUAAAAGGUUGAUCACUCGGCUGGUGCCCCAAAUCUCUCCCUUGGAUUCUAGUGGUCUGUCACUCCGUUACAAGGCAAUUAAACACAAUCUAGUAACAUAAUUUACACAAGAGGAGAUUGCAUUACAAUUAGCAUGCUUUUACUUGAAGAUCUGGUUGUCAUCUUCUUCUUUCGGCUGCUCCCGUUAGGGGUUGCUACAGAAGAUAAUCUUUUUCCAUAUCUUCCUCUGUUCUGCAUCUAGCUUCGUUACAUCCACUGCCUUCAUGUCCUCUCUCAGCACAUCCAUAAACCUUCUCUUAGGCCUUCCUCUUUUUCUCUUACCUGGCAACUCCAUCCUUAACAUUCUUCUCCCAAUAUACCCAGCAUCUCUCCUCUGCACAUGUCCAAACCAAAAUAAUUUAACAAAAAUACAAUAGCUUGUACACGAUUUGCAUUCAGUAAUCAGUAAUAGUAAUUCAGUAAUAAAUGUCCAUACUGCAUUAUGCAGAUGUGUUUGCACAAAUUGAGAAAACAGCAAUUGUACUUAUCGUGUCUGUCUGUCUAUCCAUAUGAAACAACUGAAAUCCCAGUAGGCUGAUUUCUUUCAUAUAUGGUUCCCUUAUAUUUCUUAGCAAUGUGCCAGCGAUGUUCACAUUUUGUUAAAAUACCUUGAAUACCAGUCAUGCACAUGUUUAAAACAAUUCCAAAAAUUUUCAUUUAAAAAUAAUUUGAAAUCAGUUGUCUUAAAAGUGACAAACAUUCUGUGUGACCUCAAUUACUAUUUAGCUUACACAUUGAAAUUUACAGUGCCUUGAGUAGAUUUUACUCUUGAUGGCAAAACAGAUCCUCAGUACCAGGCAUUGAAAUGGCACACAAGCGUUUGAAAGGCCUUCAUCAGAGUGCACACGCUCAAGCAAAUUUAACACAUUAUUUCAAAAAUGUAAUAUUUAAGAAAUAUGAACUAAAGUUAGCCAUACUCUUCACAACCAACAGCUAACAGUAGUUCAUUGAUGUAUGCAAUUUAUGCAUCAUUUAAAUUGCAAUUUGUUGUCUAUGAAAACUGUUUCAGCCACCACAAGCCUAUGUAUGCUCUGUUUUUAAGUUCAUAACAUUGUAAAAUGCUAUUAAAAACAUUUUAUGUACUUUUCUAA